rnacentral:rRNA from 1 species
GACGAACGCUGGCGGCGUGCUUAACACAUGCAAGUCGAACGAGAAAGCUCUUCGGAGUGAGUAGAGUGGCGCACGGGUGAGUAACACGUAGGUUAUCUACCUUAAGGUCGGGGGAUAACCAGGAGAAAUCCUGGCUAAUACCGCAUAUGAUAGUAAUAUCAAAGGAUGCUUCGGCAUUCGCCUUUAGAUGAGCCUGCGGGACAUUAGCUUGAUGGUGGGGUAAUGGCCUACCAUGGCUACGAUGUCUAGCUGGUCUGAGAGGAUGAUCAGCCACACUGGAACUGAGACACGGUCCAGACUCCUACGGGAGGCAGCAGGUGGGGAAUAUUGCGCAAUGGGGGAAACCCUGACGCAGCAACGCCGCGUGAGUGAGGAAGGCCUUCGGGUUGUAAAGCUCUGUCAAAUGGGAAGAACGGUUAGUGGUCUAAUAGGCCAUUGAUUUGACGGUACCAUUAAAGGAAGCACCGGCUAACUUCGUG